rnacentral:lncRNA from 1 species
AUAACCUUGGCAAGGAAUCAACUGAAUCUACAGACAAACACGGCGAGGGCACCAAGGUUGCAGAGAAGAAUCUUGCUGCAGAAUCAUUAGAAACAGCAGACGGAACCAACAAAUCGGCCAAUGCAAUUCGGAACCUCAACAAGGAGCUAACAGAAACUACUGAAAUGGCUAUUCAAGAACCAGCUGAGAAGCUGAAUUAACCGUCAUCAAAGAACCAGCCAAGGUUUCGACUAACCUUGGCAAGGAAUCAACUGACUCUACAGACAAACACGGCGAGGACACCAAGGUUGCAGAGAAGAAUGUUGCCACAGAAUCAUUAGAAACAGCAGACGGAACCAACAAAUCGGCCAAUGCAAUUCGGAACCUCAACAAGGAGCUAACAGAAACUACUGAAAUGGCUAUUCAAGAACCAGCUGAACCUGGUAAUAAUGAGUCAACUGAUGCUGCAAAUAAACCUCGUAAUGAACAGCUCGAACCUGUAGAGAAUGUUGGAGACGAAACAAGUAAGCCUGUAUAUGAUGGUGUUGGCGAGGAACCAGGUGAAGGUGCAAAGAUCAAAAGUGAAGACCCUGCCCCAAAAAAUUGAGAAAUUUCCUCCAGAGUUGAAGGAAAUGAACAUUUUAUACUUGUCAUAACUUAAAACUUUUUUUGAUUCGUUGAUUGUUUUACAGAAAGAAUAGAACUUUUCCAGUUUUGAUACAAGAAUGUAUACGUAUACAAGUUAGCUUGAUUAUUAUCCUUUACCCCCUGCUGUUUGUAUUUACAGAAUCUGUUUAACAAAUGCUUCCUGAAAGAGAUCUACCAGUAACCAGUUCGCUCG